rnacentral:rRNA from 1 species
AAUCAACGCUGGCGGCGUGCCUAACACAUGCAAGUCGAACGAGAAAGUGGGAGCAAUCCCAUGAGUAAAGUGGCGCACGGGUGAGUAACACGUGACUAACCUACCCUUGAGUGGAGGAUAACUGAGGGAAACCUUAGCUAAUACCGCAUAAUACCCACGGGUCAAAGGAGCAAUUCGCUCGAGGAGGGGGUCGCGGCCGAUUAGUUAGUUGGCAGGGUAAUGGCCUACCAAGACGAUGAUCGGUAUCCGGCCUGAGAGGGCGCACGGACACACUGGAACUGAAACACGGUCCAGACUCCGUACGGGAGGCAGCAGGUGGGGUAA